AGUGAACGCUGGCGGCGUGCUUAACACAUGCAAGUCGAACGAGAACGGAUUAUAGCUUGCUAUAAUUGUCAGCUAAGUGGCGCACGGGUGAGUAAUGUAUAGGUAAUAUGCCUCUUACUAAGGGAUAACAAAUGGAAACGUUUGCUAAUACCUUAUACUCCUUAUUAACAGAAGUUAAUAAGGGAAAGAUUUAUUGGUAAGAGAUUAGCCUGUAUUGUAUCAGUUAGUUGGUGGGGUAAUGGCUUACCAAAACUAUGACACAUAACUGGUUUGAGAGGAUGAUCAGUCACACUGGAACUGAGACACGGUCCAGACUCCUACGGGAGGCAGCAGUGGGGAAUAUUGCACAAUGGACGAAAGUCUGAUGCAGCAACGCCGCGUGGAGGAUGACACAUUUCGGUGCGUACACUCCUUUUAUAUGAGAAGAUAAUGACGGUAUUAUAUGAAUAAGCACCGGCUAACUCCGUGCCAGCAGCCGCAGUAA
rnacentral:rRNA from 1 species